rnacentral:rRNA from 1 species
CCUACGGGAGGCAGCAGUCGGGAAUAUUGCGCAAUGGAGGAAACUCUGACGCAGUGACGCCGCGUGCAGGAAGAAGGUUUUCGGAUUGUAAACUGCUUUAGACAGGGAAGAAAAAAGACAGUACCUGUAGAAUAAGCUCCGGCUAACUACGUGCCAGCAGCCGCGGUAAUACGUAGGGAGCAAGCGUUAUCCGGAUUUAUUGGGUGUAAAGGGUGCGUAGACGGAGAAGCAAGUUAGUUGUGAAAUCCCUCGGCUUAACUGAGGAACUGCAACUAAAACUACUUCCCUUGAGUACUGGAGAGGAAAGUGGAAUUCCUAGUGUAGCGGUGAAAUGCUUAGAUAUCACGAAGAACCCCGAUUGCGAAGGCAGCUUACUAAACUGUGACUGACAUUGAUGCUCGAAAGUGUGGGUAUCAAACAGGAUUAGAUACCCGUGUAGUC